rnacentral:rRNA from 1 species
GACCGAGAGUUCAAGAGUACGUGAAACCGUUUGCAAGUAAACAGAUGGACCCACGAAGUCCUGUUGAGUGAGAGAUUCAUAUACUUCAGGAGGCUAAUAGUUGUUUAGCUCACUUUGGUGACUGAACAGUUAUUACUGUCAACUGAAUGAUGCAUUUCUCUCGCUCACGUUGGAGCUCUGACUGCUCAUUAAAUGUUGAAUUUGCUCGACAAAGUGAUGUAGACCUUCGGGCUCUAAAUUUACUUCUUGUUGAGUGUAAAAUUUACAUUAUGAUGAGUAGGUGAAUUACUUACAAUUGUAAGUGUAUUCAGAUCAUUGGUAUCGUUGAGAUGCUAAUUAAUGUUGUAUAGAGUUCUUUCAAGACUUGUGCUUGAAGACUUUAUGCAUACGUUGAUUACAAGUGUUUCAUUCGAUGCAUUCAAUGAUGAUCCAGAGUAAGUAGGUCGGUCAUCCAUCUGACCCGUCUUGAAACACGGACCAAGGAGCCCAACAUGUAUGCGAGUCGCACAGUCUUGCAUAGGCUUGUGAGGCGAAAUAAACAUAAUGGUGUGACCAUAUAUCUUUAUUGAUAUCUGAGCAACACCAACCUGUUCAUACUAUUUAUUUAGUUGAACGGCGUUUGAGCAUACAUGUUGGUACCCGAAAGAUGGUGAACUAUACUUGGGCAAGACGAAGCCAGAGGAAACUCUGGUGGAGGUCUGUAGCGAUUCUGACGUGCAAAUCGAUCGUCAGACCUGAGUAUA